rnacentral:snoRNA from 1 species
AUCCCAUGAUGAGGACAGGUAGCCACAUACUCCUGAAGUCGUUCCCAUGCCUCAGGAAUGGACUCGUCCCUUGUCUGCUAGAAACUUGAAAUUCUCCCACGAAGGGC